rnacentral:rRNA from 1 species
GUAGGGAGCAAGCGUUGUUCGGAAUUAUUGGGGCGUAAAGAGCGCGUAGGCGGCCAGGUAAGUCUGAUGUGAAAUCCCACAGCUCAACUGUGGAACUGCAUUGGAAACUGCUUGGCUAGAGUGCGGGAGAGGAGAGUGGAAUUCCCAGUGUAGAGGUGAAAUUCGUAGAUAUUGGGAGGAACACCAGUGGCGAAGGCGGCUCUCUGGACCGCAACUGACGCUGAGGCGCGAAAGCUAGGGGAGCGAACGGGAUUAGAUACCCCGGUAGUCCUAGCCGUAAACGAUGGGCACUAGGUGUGGGAGGUAUCAACCCCUUCUGUGCCGCAGCUAACGCAUUAAGUGCCCCGCCUGGGGAGUACGGUCGCAAGACUA